rnacentral:rRNA from 1 species
GCGACCCCAGGAUGGGCGAGGCCACCCGCUGAGUUAAG